AGAGUUUGAUCCUGGCUCAGAUUGAACGCUGGCGGUAGGCCUAACACAUGCAAGUCGAACGGUAACGGACCGCUGGGAUCCCUUCGGGGUGACCUUGGUGCCGACGAGUGGCGGACGGGUGAGUAACACGUAGGAAUCUGCCCAACAGUGGGGGACAACCCGGAGAAAUCCGGGCUAAUACCGCAUACGCCCUAUGGGGGAAAGCGGGGGAUCUUCGGACCUCGCGCUGUUGGAGGAGCCUGCGUCGGAUUAGCUUGUUGGUGAGGUAAAGGCUCACCAAGGCGACGAUCCGUAGCUGGUCUGAGAGGAUGAUCAGCCACACUGGGACUGAGACACGGCCCAGACUCCUACGGGAGGCAGCAGUGGGGAAUAUUGCACAAUGGGCGAAAGCCUGAUGCAGCCAUACCGCGUGUGUGAAGAAGGCCCUCGGGUUGUAAAGCACUUUCGUUAGGGAAGAAAGGUGCGGAGUUAAUACCUCCGUACUGUGACGGUACCUAAAUAAGAAGCACCGGCUAACUCCGUGCCAGCAGCCGCGGUAAUACGGAGGGUGCAAGCGUUCAUCGGAAUCACUGGGCGUAAAGCGCGCGUAGGCGGUUUGGUCAGUCAGAUGUGAAAGCCCCGGGCUCAACCUGGGAACUGCAUUUGAUACUGCCGAACUAGAGUGUAGUAGAGGGAAGCGGAAUUCCGAGUGUAGCGGUGAAAUGCGUAGAUAUUCGG
rnacentral:rRNA from 1 species